rnacentral:misc_RNA from 1 species
GAUGAAGAACGUAGCGAAAUGCGAUAAGUAGUGUGAAUUGCAGAAUUCCGUGAAUCAUCGAAUCUUUGAAUGCACAUUGCGCCUUCUGGUAUUCCGGAAGGCAUGCCUGUUCGAGCGUCAUUGCUGCCCUCAAGCACGGCUUGUGUGUUGGGCCUCCGCCCCCCGGCUCCCGGGGGGCGGGCCCGAAAGGCAGCGGCGGCACCGCGUCCGGUCCUCGAGCGUAUGGGGCUUCGUCACCCGCUCCGUAGGCCCGGCCGGCGCCCGCCGGCGACCCCCCUCAAUCUUUCCAGGUUGACCUCGGAUCAGGUAGGGAUACCCGCUGAACUUAAGCAUAUCAAUAAGCGGAGGA